rnacentral:rRNA from 1 species
AUUGAACGCUGGCGGCAGGCCUAAAACAUGCAAGUCGAGCGGAGCGGCGGACGGGUGAGUAAUGCCUAGGAAUCUGCCUGGUAGUGGGGGAUAACGUCCGGAAACGGGCGCUAAUACCGCAUACUAUCAGAUGAGACUAGGUCGGAUUAGCUCGUGGGGGAGGUACAGGCCUACCAAGGCAACGAUCCGUAACUGGUCUGAGAGGAUGAUCAGUCAAACUGGAACUGAGACACGGGCCAGACUCCUACGUGAGGCAGCAGUGGGGAAUAUUGGACAAUGGGCGAAAGCCUGAUCCAGCCAUGCCGCGUGUGUGAAGAAGGUCUUCGGAUUGUAAAGCACUUUAAGUUGGGAGGCGUUACCAACAGAAUAAGCACCGGCUAACUUCGUGCCAGCAGCCGCGGUAAUUC